GACGAACCGUGCGAACGUUGUUCGGAAUCACUGGGCUUAAAGGGCGCGUAGGCGGCGGAUCAAGUCCGGGGUGAAAGCCCCCAGCUCAACUGGGGAAGUGCCUCGGAUACUGGUUCGCUCGAGGGAGGUAGGGGUCGCGGGAACUUCCGGUGGAGCGGUGAAAUGCGUUGAUAUCGGAAGGAACGCCGGUGGCGAAAGCGCGCGACUGGACCUCUUCUGACGCUGAGGCGCGAAAGCGUGGGGGAGCAAACAGG
rnacentral:rRNA from 1 species